rnacentral:rRNA from 1 species
AGUGGCGCACGGGUGCGUAACACGUAUGCACCUACCUUACAUUGGGGCAUAGCCUUUCGAAAGGGAGAUUAAUACCGCAUAAGUUGGCAUCAGUAAAGAUUUAUCGAUGUAAGUUGGGCAUGCGUCCAAUUAGCUAGUUGGUGAGGUAAUGGCUCACCAAGGCUAUGAUUGGUAGGGGAACUGAGAGGUCAAUCCCCCACACUGGCACUGAGAUACGGGCCAGACUCCUACGGGAGGCAGCAGUAGGGAAUAUUGGGCAAUGGACGCAAGUCUGACCCAGCCAUGCCGCGUGCAGGAAGAAGGCGUUUGCGUUGUAAACUGCUUUUAUACAGGAAGAAACGACUCUUGCGAGAGGCAUUGACGGUACUGUAUGAAUAAGCACCGGCUAACUCCGUGCCAGCAGCCGCGGUAAUACGGAGGGUGCAAGCGUUGUCCGGAUUUAUUGGGUUUAAAGGGUGCGCAGGUGGUUUAUUAAGUCAGUGGUGAAAGACGGUCGCUCAACGAUUGCAGUGCCAUUGAAACUGAUAGACUUGAGUAAAGUAGCGGUGGGCGGAAUUGAUAGUGUAGCGGUGAAAUGCAUAGAUAUUAUCAAGAACUCCAAUUGCGAAAGCAGCUCACUUGGCUUUUACUGACACUCAUGCACGAAAGUGUGGGUAUCAAACAGGAUUAGAUAGCCUGGUAGUCACACUGA